CAGUGUAAAAAAAAAAAUAUAUAUAUAUAUAUAUAUAUAUAUGUGUGUGUGUGUGUGUGUGUGUGUGUGUGUGUAUACACACAUACAUACAUAUGAAUGCACCAUA
rnacentral:miRNA from 14 species